AAACAGUCAGAAAAGUUGCGCCUCCAUCUUUGAAUGGGGCAAAGCAGUAGUUUCUCACCCUAUAAACUUUAGAAUGUAGAGUUCCAUAGGCUACAUACUUUCUCAAAUAUAUUCUUAAAAUUUUCUCCUGAAUAGAACCUCGGCGCCUACGAGACCGUCAUCCAAACGGAUCCAGCACUUCUCAGGAGACCUCCUUGACACAACAUGACGUCUGUUUGCCUAAGAGGGAAGUCCCUCUCAUCACCUAGUUACCGGGAACCGAGAAAAGUGACGCGUAGCCCCAGAGGAAGCUGAAGUUGUCCAAGUUGUCCGGAAGAGGCCCUCAGCCUGAGGAAAGGGACUAAGAGGUGACAGAGUCUCGCCGCUAGUUGGUGUUCUUUUUCUGCUCAGCAGAACCACCUAAGAAACACAACUCUGGUUGUAUCUGAGAGAGCAUUUCCAGACAGGAGUAACUGAAGAAGGAACCCUAAAAUGUCUGGCACCAUCUCCUACGGUGGAGGCCCAGACUGAAUAAAGUGGGGAAAGGAGAUGGCCAGAUGAGUAUUGGUUUCCCUUUCUCUGUGGUUGACACUAUAGACUAAGCCAUCUGCAUCCAUGCCUUUCCCAGCCUACUAGACUCUGAACUGUGAGCCUUUAUGCCUUCCCACUAUGAUAAACUGUUUCUCCAAACUGCAAGCUAAAAUAUAUCCUUCAUCCCCAGAGUUGCUUUUUGUCAGCUAUAUCAUUACAGCAACAAUAAAAGUCUAUACAGAACAAUACUGUACAGAGAAGUGAGUUGGUUCUGUGAGGAACAUGAUUAGUGAAGUUCCUGAACUUUCUGAACUAUGUUUACAGAACGAUGUUGAAGAAUUUGCAGCUGUAGGCUGGAGAUUUAGAGAGCUGUAAGCAGAGAUGAAUGGACCACCCAGUGAGAUUUUGGAAGACUGGAAUGCCAAUAGAGAUAUGAACAGCAAAAGGUGUGCUUACGACAUUUCAGACAGGAACAAAGACUGUGCUGAGAAAUGGUCAAGAGAUCAUUGGUAUGAGAGUCUGGCCAAGGCCAUAGCUGUGUUUUCACUGUAUCCUGAAAACUCGACCAAACUAAAUGCAACAGGGACCAUCUACUGGUUCUCCACACCACAUGAACAAUUAACACCAAGUUCUGCUGGCACGCAGAUGCAAGCAGACCCUGCUGAGCCAUCGAUGCCAUGGCCUCUGCAUGCCUUUGACACUCAAACUGGGAAGCAUUUUCCUUGUCCAGGAAAGAGUUUCAAUAGAAGAUGACAUUUCACCCAGGCUGAGGAAUGGUUACUGUUCAUCAUAUAUAUUGUGGUUUAUUAUAGAUAUUUAGCAGGAGGAUGUGAGAAUGCAGUAUCGAAUGCAUGCUAAACAAUGCAGAUGAAGCAAAGCUGGAGAAAGCAGCUGUAACUGAAAAGAGAUUGGCACCAUUAAUGGGAAACAUUUACAUUGGGGCAAUAAGAAAUGUGCCCUGAGGUUCAGACCCCACCCACCAAAAGUUCCAG
ensembl:lncRNA